rnacentral:rRNA from 1 species
AUUGAACGCUGGCGGCAUGCCUAACACAUGCAAGUCGAACGGAGGUAGGGGCAACUCUACUUCAGUGGCGGACGGGUGAGGAAUGCGUCGGAAUCUACCCUAUGGUGGGGGAUAACACAGGGAAACUUGUGCUAAUACCGCAUAAUGUCGAGAGACCAAAGCAGGGGACCGCAAGGCCUUGCGCGAUAGGAUGAGCCGACGCCCGAUUAGCUAGUUGGUAGGGUAAAGGCCUACCAAGGCGACGAUCGGUAGCUGGUCUGAGAGGAUGAUCAGCCACACUGGGACUGAGACACGGCCCAGACUCCUACGGGAGGCAGCAGUGGGGAAUAUUGGACAAUGGGCGCAAGCCUGAUCCAGCAAUGCCGCGUGUGUGAAGAAGGCCUGCGGGUUGUAAAGCACUUUGUUCGGGAAGAAAUCAUGCUGGUUAAUACCUGGUAUGGAUGACGGUACCGAAAGAAUAAGCACCGGCUAACUACGUGCCAGCAGCCG